GGCCUCGUGGUCAAUCGGUUAAGACGCCGCCCUUUCACGGCGGAAUGAGGGGUUCGACUCCCCUCGAGGCUACCA
rnacentral:tRNA from 1 species